UAGGGUUUUCAGUUGAUUUCUGAAAUUCUGAAGCGACUUCGAAGAGGAAAUCGGAAAAAUCACGAAUUAUCAGCAAGAAUUACCAGUUUUGGGUUAUUUUUUGACAUUUGAAGUGAAGAAGACGACGGCCGAAAAGAUGACAAAUGGAAAAGGGAAACAGAAAACGUUACAAGUUCGAAGCUACAGAAAAAGCAAAAUGACAUCUGGCGAAUCAUCAAACACAAAUCCUGAUGAUGGUAAUCUCUUUCACUGAUUGAGGAGGUUUGCAGAGGAACUCAAACAUGAUUGAGGGGGUGUUGAACGAUCGUCUGGGGAAGAAAGUUCGGGUGAAAGUUCAAGUAUUGUUAUUGACUCGUUCUCGUGUUGUAAUAUUCAAUUAAACUUAAAGUAUAUUCAUUAAGUUUCAUGACUUAUUCAAAAUAAUAAUAAGCAUAUAUAACAACAAGAGUAUUAGUUAAUUUAUUCAGUUUCUUGUUUUACUUAUUCGGUUUAUAACAAAGUGGUA